UGUGACGUCACGUGGGUCACGUUCACUCAGCUGUUUCCUCUCACAGAGGCAGGAAAGGAUUUCAUUAAAGAAUACAUCUUGAAAAGUGUUUUUUAUUCCAGGCUCAUGCUGCGGACGCGUUGGCAAACUUCCUGUUGACCUGCAUCAAGCCAGUGGCAGGAUGAGGCCCCUCAGAGAUGCUCAGCUGGGGGCCUUCACCUUCUUUGCCUCUGCUCUCCCUCAUGAUGUCUGUGGGAGCAAUGGCCUCCCCCUCACCCCCAACUCCAUCAAAAUCCUGGGACGCUAUCAGAUCCUCAAGACCGUCACUCACCCCAGACUGUGCCAGUAUGUGGACAUCUCCAGAGGGAAACACGAACGACUGAUUGUUGUAGCUGAGCACUAUGAAAGCAGUUUAAGCGAUUUCCAAAAACAGCGGAAGACUGUCAGCCCAGAGAAGGUGCUGCAGAUCGCCUUCGAGGUCCUUGAAGGUCUGGAGUUUAUGAACAAACACGGUAUGGUGCACAGGGCCCUCAGUGCACACAACGUGCUGAUGGAUUGCAAGGGGAAUGUCAAGCUGGCAAAGUUUGGCCUUUACCACAUGACUGAUCAUGGAGCCGAUGUAGAUUUCCCCAUUGGGUACCCAUCAUACCUUGCACCAGAGGUGAUCGCUCAGGGCUCUUUCCACCCCAGUGACCAUUCUCGUGAUGAAACUCCUCUGCCGUCAGGACCCAAGACUGAUAUCUGGUCUCUCGGGGUGUUGCUUUUUGAAUUGUGUGCAGGCAGACGCCUGCUGCAGAAUAUUGAUAUAAGCGAGAGACUCAAAUUCAUUCUAACCUUGGGUUGCAUGGACGACAUUGUCACUGUCCUUGCUGAGGAACAUGGUUGCCUUGAUACAAUCAAGGAGCUGCCUGAGGACGUUCUGGAGUUAUUAAGGAAAUGCUUGACCUUUCUUCCAUCCAAAAGGCCAACCCCUGCAGAGCUUCUGGUAGACCCUGUGUUCGCUGGGGUCUCGUGCCUCUACACGCCCUUCCAGAAGCCUGUCAGCCUCUUCUCCUCCUCCCUCCGCUGUGCUCAUCUGGAGCUCCCAGACGACAUCAGUGACCUUUGCAAAGAUGACGAUGACGACUACCUGUCAGAGCGGGCCAUAGACGAGGUUUACCAUCUUUGGUGUCUGGCUGGAGGAGACCUGGAGAAGGAGCUGACCAAUAAGGAGAUCAUACAGUCCAAACCUCCAAUCUGCACACUGCCCAACUUUGUCCUGGAAGACGGCGAGUCAUUUGGUCAGGGGAGGGAUCGAAGUUUCUUGCUAGACGACACCACAGUGACACUCUCUCUGUGCCAACUCAGAAAUAGACUGAAGGAUGUGGCAGGAGAAGCCUAUUACCCUCUGCUGGAAGACGAACAGUCGAGCCUUUCCCAGUCCAACAGCAGCAAUGAGCUGUCGACCACCGUCACACUGCCACUCAUCAUCCGAGAGAGAGACACCGAGUACCAACUCAUCCGCAUCAUCCUCUUUGACAGGCUGCUCAAGGCGUAUCCUUACAAGAAGAACCUGGUGUGGAAAGAGUCCAGAGUGGAUAUUCCCCCUCUGGUUCGAGGAUUGGCGUGGGCUGCACUCCUGGGCAUUGAGGGAGAUAUUCAAGCCAAAUAUGAAACCAUAGACAAGGAUACCCCCAUUCCUACUGACAGACAGAUUGAGGUGGACAUCCCACGCUGCCACCAGUAUGACGAGCUGCUGUCAUCUCCUCAGGGUCACAUCAAGUUCAGACGGGUGUUGAAAGCCUGGGUGGUUUCCCACCCUGACCUGGUCUACUGGCAGGGUCUGGAUUCCCUCUGUGCUCCAUUCCUAUACUUGAAUUUCAACAAUGAAGCCCUGGCGUAUGCCUGCAUGUCUGCGUUCAUCCCCAAAUACUUGUACAACUUUUUCCUGAAGGACAACUCUCAUGUUAUUCAAGAGUACCUGACGGUCUUCUCCCAAAUGAUUGCCUUCCAUGACCCGGAGCUCAGCAACCAUCUAAAUGAGAUUGGCUUCAUUCCAGAUCUUUAUGCGAUUCCAUGGUUCCUGACGAUGUUUACACAUGUGUUUCCACUGCACAAGAUCUUCCACCUGUGGGACACCCUGCUCCUGGGCAACUCCUCUUUCCCAUUCUGCAUCGGUGUGGCUAUUCUCCAACAACUCAGGGAUCGUCUCUUGGCUAAUGGCUUCAACGAGUGCAUUCUACUCUUUUCUGACCUGCCAGAAAUUGACAUCGAGCGCUGCGUCCGUGAAUCCAUUAACCUCUUCUGCUGGACGCCAAAGAGCGCCACAUACCGACAACAUGCUCAGCCGCCAAAGGUUGCUGGCGACAAUGGCUUUGGAAAAACGGCAACAUACUACUCAUCUGACUAUCAGGACAUGCCUAGGACAGACCUGUCUCGGGAUCCUCUGGCGCUGUGUGACCUGAAGAAAGAAGUAUCCCCCAGGGUCUCGGCUGAGGACCUGAUUGACCUCUGUGAGUUGUCAUUGGCUGGCCCUGCCAAGAGGACUAAAGCCGGCAAGCCCAAAAUCAUCGCUGUCGACAUUCGCAAUGUGGAAGAUUUCAGCAAAGGCCAUAUUUCUGGCAGCAUAAAUAUUCCCUCCAGCACGGCCUUCAACCCUGACGGGGAGCUGGUGCAGUGUCCUGCAAAUGGAGUCCUCCAGAACUACAGAGGUCGUGUCAUUGUGGUUAUCAGCCACGUCAUGAAGAAUGCUGCUAAGUCUCGGGAUCCUCUGGCUCUUGAAGAAGUUUCACCUCUCCUCCAAAAGGCUUCUUCAGCUCUGGAAAUCAAAAAGGGAAUCUGUAUGGGCGGUGUUCCUUCUCUCCAGCAUUUGUCAUGGAAUGUGACAUCUCGUGUUGUGGACAGGGUCAUGUCAGGGCAAUGAAGGCAGACCUAAGGGUCAACUUGUCUCCUCUGAAGUCCCUCUGAUCAUCCAGCUGGAUCACACUGGCAUCACUGGUGAACUGCACAAGAGCAGUUUGCAGCACAUCUGGUCAAGGUGAACUUCCCACGGGUUUGUAUCUUGGAUGGAGGCAUCAACAAGCUGAGGCCCACUGGACUCCUGACUGUCCCCUCCCCUCAGAUCUGACACUUUUCUCAGCUUUAUAUUAACUAAAGGGAUGAGUGGAGGGAACGUACAAUGCAUUUUGAGCUGAUAUUAAAGUGAAAAAAAAAAUGAUCACACUUGUAUCAAGACGUUUUGUGGAGGACUUUACACAUUCUGAUCAGACUGUGAUGCAAAACAACAACCUGGACUGAAUGAACUGAAAUAUUGUAAUUUCUUUUUUAAUAAAAGUGAAAUAAUGAAUUAUUUCUUCUCAA